rnacentral:lncRNA from 1 species
AGAGAGGCAUGGCGAGAUUUUGGUUGGAGGCCUCACUCGCUGAUCUCUCGAGGCGCUUUGGUGGUAGGCCCACGGUUCUCCCCCUCCUCCCCUGGUUGCUUAUCUCCAAGCUCGCGCUCUGAUUUGAUUCACCUUUGUUCUUGUCAGGGAGAAAGGGAGAGGCGAAGUCGACGCCAUGGCGAUUUGGCUGCGGUUUCUUCUCGGGUCUUUGAUUCGUGCCGCUCCUUCUUUUGUGGUGGUCCGCAAGCCCUGCGUCUCUCCCCGCCCCCUACAUGAGGUUGUUGGUUUGCAAGCACCCCCUCUCCCCCUGUUCCAUUUUCCCUUCGUUUUUCUGUGCGAUUUGCUAGAUCUGGUUGAUUGUCUCGUUGUAUUCUUCUACUUGCAUUUUUCGUAUGUGGUAUUUUUUGUUGCACAUGUAAAUUUAGCGGUGGAUCCCUCUUGUCUAUUUUGAUUUCUUCUUCCGAAUGUAGAUGUAGUUUCCUUGUGGCAGGCUUUGAAUUAGCGGUGUUGAUCCAUUGGUAGCUGCUAGUGUGGUAGGUUGAUGUUCGUCUGGUCUAGCCUGUUUUUGAUGUAGAUGUGUGGUUUUCUAGUGUAAUUUCUGAUGUAGAUGUAUGGUUGCUCCGCUUUUCCUCUGUUGUUUGAUUCUGGACUGAAUUUCUACAAUUAAGUAAUAGUUAUUUGAUCUGUACUAUUGCAGUGUAAUUUUGAGUGGAUUUCACUGUAAUUAAGUAACAGUUGUUUGGCUACUAUAGACAGCAAUAGUGAAUGGCCAGUGUAAAUGUAAUAUUAGGUUUAAUUUUACAGUGAUAUUUCUACUGUAGUUUCAGUCUAUAGUAGUCUAUCUUACACUGGUUUUUCACUGUAAAUGGCAAGCGUAAAUGUACUUUUUAGGUUUUAUUCUGGACUGAAUUUCUUCAAUUAAGCAACAGUUGUUUGGUCUGUACUAUAGUGAUAUCUCUAUUUAAAUUUCACUGAUAUCUAUGUGUAACUUACACUGUACAUGGUGGUACAUUUAACUGAAUUGUGUGCUUCCAUUGUUUUAUACUUUUGUUUACAUGGUGGUACGUUAACUGAACUUUUCAGUACAUAGAGAAAGUAAUUUAAUGAUGAUAGAUGUAGACAUGCAAAUGUUGACUCUUCUAGUCGGUUGAGUCUCGUGAUGUGUACGUGUUGGUCUGAAAUAAUUCUGUUUUAGUUUCAGUGUUUUGGACUGUAAUUUCUAGUGUAAUUUUGAGUGGAUUUUCAGUAUAGUUUCAUUUGUAGUCCAGUUUUUGGUUCAAAUUUACAGUGAUAUUUUGUACUGUUGGUUCAGGUAUAUAGUCUUUUCUCUCACAGUAAUUUGUUUCUUGUAACUUGCAAUCUGUGUUAAACUGAGGGCUUAACCCCACCAUUAAUUUACACUAUAAAUUAGUGUAGCUAACCUGUAAUUUUUGUACUUACAGUCUUUCCGGUCUAACUUGCAGUGUAAUUACGUUGUACUUUCAGUGUAAUUAUCUGUUUAUUAUGUGUAAUUAACCUGAAUUUUUGUACUUACAGUCUAUGCACUGAAACUUUCCAGUCUAAUUUGCAAUGUAAAUACACUGUAAUUUUCAGUGUAAUUAACCUAUUUUUUUGUAGUUAUAGUCUGUGUACUAAAAUUUUUCAGUCUAAAUUGCAUUGUAAUUACACUAUAAACUCAGUGUAAUUUGCAAUGUAAUUACACUCAGUGUUUAACCUGUGUAUUAAGUGUAAUUAUCCUGAAUUUUGUUCUUGCAGUCUAUGUACUAUAUUUUUCCAAGCUAAAUUGCAGUGUAAUUCUACUGUAAAUUUUUUAUCACAUUUAUGUCAUAUAAGCCUUGUGAGCAGGGACCCCUUGUUAUUCCUCCUGAUGGCAUUGUAAAUUGUUCAGAGAAGCCACAUAGACGAGUUUCCUUUUCAGCACAUUGUACAUCAGUGUUGAGUUUUCAUCAAAAAUGGGAGGAGGCUUGGUUGAGUGUACCAUGUGAUCAUUUUUCCUUCAUUUGUCUAUGAUAUACUUGUCAGGUAUCCUCUCUACGUUCAGUUGGAUCAUCACUCUGAGUAUGUGUCAGGAUAGGAUUCCAUCCUUGUGAAAUGUGCAGCAGAUGCAUCAUGCAUGAGUACUUCUCUUGCAUCAAAUCUAUCUCAUGUAGGUUCUUUCGUUUUUAACCAUGUAGUUUUUUUUCUUUUUCAAGCUCAAACACAUGCAACCUCGUUGUAUCUUCCAUUUUCUUUCAGAACUUCCUGAAGAUGCGAAUGUUGUAGAGCUCAUACACUUGUCGUUCUAUACUGUAUUUGGACCAGAACUUCUUGGGCGCAUCCUUUUUGUUUCUAGACAAGUGAUCACAUUCUUGCUUUCUCUCAUGAAUGACUUCUAUUAUCCUGUCAUACUCUCUUAGGAAGCUUGUUGCACUGAAUUUAGCCCCCACUCCCCUUUUGAACAGUGCAUUUGUCAUACUCUCUUCGAGGUACAGCGACUGCCCUUUGAUGCUAUAUUCUAUUGCAUCUGAUUCGAUUGCAGGCAUCUGCACUCAAUGUUUUCAGAAAGUAUAGGUAAUGAAGUGUUGUAGAAUAAACAAGAGUAUUUCUGAUGUCCCCAUUUGUCCUUUUUUUGCAUGUAUGCAUGUUUAUGCAUAUGUAGGGUGCAACAAGUAGGUAAGAAAUGCAGUAAAGCAUGUUGCAAGUCAUUGACAAGGUUUUUUGUACAAUUUUUUCUUUGAAGCCAGAGUUAUUUGUGUCAAUUCCAGUAGUCUCUUCAUACACAAGUUUCUGAUUUCUUCUAUUUAUGUGCAAAUCAGAGCUUGUAAUUUACAAGGUAGGGUGCAGAGUGUCAGUGCUUAACCUGAUUGUCCUCAGUCUUUUUUUCUGAUAAUUUUACUUUCACUGUUAAUUUUCAUGGCAUAUUAGAUUAAGUGUGAACUAGUAUCAGAUCAUAGUAAUUUGAACUACAACUUUGGACAGUACAAUUGUUUCUAAAAUACAGUCAUAUGUUCACAGCUUUAUACUGAAAUCUAAUCUGCCAUGUCUAAAAUACAGUCAUAGAUUCACAGAUACAAAUGUCCAAACAUGAUCAAAAGUAUCUGAACAAUGUACAGUUUCUCAGCACCAAACUUCUGAAAUUACAGCAGUACUACUCUUUUUGUUUGAACAAGUUUUUCCUAAAUGGAAUUCAUAGCUUCCUCANNNNNNNNNNUUUUUUUUCUUUUUCAAGCUCAAACACAUGCAACCUCGUUGUAUCUUCCAUUUUCUUUCAGAACUUCCUGAAGAUGCGAAUGUUGUAGAGCUCAUACACUUGUCGUUCUAUACUGUAUUUGGACCAGAACUUCUUGGGCGCAUCCUUUUUGUUUCUAGACAAGUGAUCACAUUCUUGCUUUCUCUCAUGAAUGACUUCUAUUAUCCUGUCAUACUCUCUUAGGAAGCUUGUUGCACUGAAUUUAGCCCCCACUCCCCUUUUGAACAGUGCAUUUGUCAUACUCUCUUCGAGGUACAGCGACUGCCCUUUGAUGCUAUAUUCUAUUGCAUCUGAUUCGAUUGCAGGCAUCUGCACUCAAUGUUUUCAGAAAGUAUAGGUAAUGAAGUGUUGUAGAAUAAACAAGAGUAUUUCUGAUGUCCCCAUUUGUCCUUUUUUUGCAUGUAUGCAUGUUUAUGCAUAUGUAGGGUGCAACAAGUAGGUAAGAAAUGCAGUAAAGCAUGUUGCAAGUCAUUGACAAGGUUUUUUGUACAAUUUUUUCUUUGAAGCCAGAGUUAUUUGUGUCAAUUCCAGUAGUCUCUUCAUACACAAGUUUCUGAUUUCUUCUAUUUAUGUGCAAAUCAGAGCUUGUAAUUUACAAGGUAGGGUGCAGAGUGUCAGUGCUUAACCUGAUUGUCCUCAGUCUUUUUUUCUGAUAAUUUUACUUUCACUGUUAAUUUUCAUGGCAUAUUAGAUUGAGUGUGAACUAGUAUCAGAUCAUAGUAAUUUGAACUACAACUUUGGACAGUACCAUUGUUUCUAAAAUACAGUCAUAUGUUCACAGCUUUAUACUGAAAUCUAAUCUGCCAUGUCUAAAAUACAGUCAUAGAUUCACAGAUACAAGUGUCCAAACAUGAUCAAAAGUAUCCGAACAAUGUACAGUUUCUCAGCACCAAACUUCUGAAAUUACAGCAGUACUACUCUUUUUGUUUGAACAAGUUUUUCCUAAAUGGAAUUCAUAGCUUCCUCAUGCCCCCCCUCUCAUCCCCAAACUUUUCUUGGCCCUGUGUUGUAGCUAUAGCUGCGAAUUUCUGAGCACUAAUUUUGCAACUAGUUUUCAGAAUCUAGUGUUCCAGAAGUGUUAUUCCUGUGACCAUAAACUAGUAAUUCAUAUGUGUUCAUAGUCUAGUUGUUCCUAGAGUUUCUCCUGCUCCAUGCUAUCUUUUCUGCCUGUGUUCUAAUCUUUGUUCUGUUAAGUUGUGUUCUUCAGCAUAUGUUAAUGAUCCUCACAGGGAGCUUGUUUUUCUUUCAGAUGUCAUGAGGUAGGAGAGAGAUCUUGGAGGAGUGAAUGCAUAAGAGGGGGGGUGUUUACCUGUGUUUUUUCUGCAUCUCCAGCCAGAUUUGUGUCCCAGAUCAUGGAGGAAUUGCCCUCUCUGGUGUGGACCCAUAAGUGGAUUUACAUUGUAAUUCCUACUGGAUUUACAGUGUUUUUCUUAGUGGAUAUCCAGUGUAAUUCCAAGUGGAUUUACACUGUAAUUACUACUGGAUUUACAGUGUUUUUCCUAGUGGGUUUCCACUGUAAUUCUAAGUGGAUUUACAUUGUAAUUCCUACUGGAUUUACAAUGUUUUUCUUAGUGGAUUUACACUGAAAUGCUUAGUGUAAUUAUUUAGUACAAAUUAUUUGGAUUGGAAGUGUAUUUUUAGCGGUAUUUACAGUGUAAUUUUAGUGGAUUUUACAGUGUAAUUUUAGUGGAUUUUACAUUGUAAUUCUUAGUGCACAUAAAGAUUUUCUAUAGUGCAUUUUUCAGUGGAUAUUACACUGAAAUUCUUUAGUUGAACUAUUAGUGUAAUUUUAGUUAUUUUCCAGUGUGCAUUUGUC